CGUGCGGUACAUGUAGCUGGCUCAUACAAUUGUAUAGCGGAUGCUAUUUCCCGUAAGCAGUGGCAACGAUUCCGGCUGUUAGCACCCAAUGCACAUCAUCAGCCACAGAGCAUCCCAGACCACUUCUGGGAGUCGAUCUACAAUCUGAAGUUGACAGACUGCUGAGAGCCUCGGUAUCAACAAAUACUCAUAAAGCCCAUGACACAGGAUUCAAGGGUAUGGUGUGUGGGGUCCUCAAUAAUAAAAAGGGCAGCGAUUCAAGCACGAAACAGACCUGGCGGUUGGCAGCUGGGGCUGGGGCGAGUCGGAAUUUCCAUCUGGUGGCAGGGCUAUGGCGGUUUACAAUUGGGAGCCUUGAAAAACAAAGUUUUGUUACUCUCAAGACAUGAGCCCGCACCAAAAUAUUUGGUUAUCCACUGUGGAGGAAAUGACCUGGGGAACAUUCAACUCGCAUCAUUACGUGAGUUGAUAAAAUCUACCUUGCAAUUUCUUGCCCAGUUGUUGCCAAAUACACGAAUUAUCUGGUCCCAGAUUCUACCCAGGCUGAAGUGGCGCUAUUCACAGAAUAAUAAGGCCAUGGAAAGAGCUCGGGUGCGCAUAAAUAGUGCGGCAGGUAAAGAGGCCAUUCGGCUUGGGGGUGGAUACAUAUUGUAUCCUGAUAUUGCCCUUAAAUCGCCUUCGUUGUUCCUACCUGAUGGAGUGCAUUUAAGUAGUACAGGGACAGCCAUUUUCUUGAACACCUUGCAAGGGGCCCUAGAGAGCUUCAAAUCUGGAUGUAAUAUGGCGUACCCAUAUUAGACAGUUGUCAUGCUUUGGACUGAAUUUGUUGGGGUCACGGCUAUGUGAUAUAACUUUAAGCUUUCCUUCCCCCACAUUAUUGUUGUGGCGGUGGUCACUAUGGCCAGAAAUAGAUUCUUGGAUAUUGACCAUAUGGCGAUUACAGGUUGCUUAAAGUAACAGUAUAGGCAAUGUACAUAUGUAUAUAUUUUUGGGGGGAAUUAUUAUUAACAGUUAAAAACCUUUUGGCCUCUGUCAUCCCAGGGUCAAGGGGAAAUAACUGAUGAGUAGUAAAUAUUAACAGUUAAAACACUUUUGGCCUCUGUUUCCCAGGGUCAAAGGGAAAUAACUGCUAGAAAUUAUUAAUACGGUAUUUGAUUGUUGGGGCUCGCCAUAAUGGUGUUGUCGGCAGCCCAGUUGUGUUGUAUUAUGUUGUCGCUAUUGGGGCUCGCCAUAAAUGGUGUUGUCGGCAACCCAAUAAAAUAUUAUGUAAUUCAGCCGUGACCCAAAAUAUUUGCCACAUUUACAUUAAUCAUCAUUUAUAUUAGACCUAGUAAAUCCAUAUAUAUAUACCUGUUUAGAAAAUAAAUUAUGUAUUGAGAUCAUGUUGUUGUCUUGAAACUUAUCUUUGAUAAUACCAUCUAUUAAUUACAGAAUAGAUGAAUUUAUCUAAGGAAGGGAAAUCGUAUUUGGUAAUGUUACGGCAAGCUUAGAACCCGUUUCAAACACUGGCUUGUUCGCAGCGGUCAGAGUAACAACGAGCAUAAUAUCCGGUUUAUUGCCGCCCUUUUUCAUUCCUUUGUCUGAAACCAACCAUAUCAGUUUGAAAAAAAUUUGGCACAAAAAUAGUAAAUAAACCCAUCCCUCCCACCCAUUGUUGAGAAUGUGUUAAGAUAGAAAGAUACUGCUGUUGUGUGUUUUCUUUUGCAGUGAUGCUGUUGCAGAGCUUGGAUCUGUGCCAGAUUGUGAAGCUGCAAGAAGUCUGGACAUAUAGUAACAUGCAGCAGCCUAACACUGUGUUUUGUGUUCACCAUGUUUUGUGUUGUGGUCUAUCGCUUUUCCGGAGGUUUUUACACAAUGUUCAAAGUCAAAGUUUAGUGUUUUUCCCUGGUUUUUAGUGCGAGACCUUCAUGGAUAUUUCUCAAUUUAGUGUGUUGCUGGACUUGUUCGUAGAGCAAAGUGACAAUCAUAUUCAAUCAGUGAUAUUCCUGAAACAGUCACAAAUUUGUAGAAUGUGAUUACAUAUCAUAUUUUCUGUUUAGUUAUUAAUGACUAUCGGAGACAUCAUUAGAAGCUAUCUUGGAACUUUUGAAAUAUUUAUAUAGGAUUAUAAAUAAUAGAUUUGAUUAACUUAUUAUCUUUAUUAUAACAUGGCACGGUUGGGUUACAUGACACAUGGCGAUUACAGGUUGCUUAAAGUAACAGUAUAGGCAAUGUACAUAUGUAUAUAUUUUUGGGGGGAAUUAUUAUUAACAGUUAAAAACCUUUUGGCCUCUGUCAUCCCAGGGUCAAGGGGAAAUAACUGAUGAGUAGUAAAUAUUAACAGUUAAAACACUUUUGGCCUCUGUUUCCCAGGGUCAAAGGGAAAUAACUGCUAGAAAUUAUUAAUACGGUAUUUGAUUGUUGGGGCUCGCCAUAAUGGUGUUGUCGGCAGCCCAGUUGUGUUGUAUUAUGUUGUCGCUAUUGGGGCUCGCCAUAAAUGGUGUUGUCGGCAGCCCAAUAAAAUAUUAUGUAAUUCAGCCGUGACCCAAAAUAUUUGCCACAUUUACAUUAACCAUCAUUUAUAUUAGACCUAGUAAAUCCAUAUAUAUAUACCUGUUUAGAAAAUAAAUUAUGUAUUGAGA